AAUGCUUUAGAUUAAUAAGGAGUGUAUUUCUCUACCAUUACUCCAAAAUAUCAGAUCAAUUUGGUUUAAUGUAUAGUAUGCAAUAUGACAAUAAUGUUUCCAUGUUAUGGAGUUGCAAUUCAUUUUAUAAAACAAUUCCUAUGUUCUGUUUUUUAAUCAAGAAAGAUCCAAGUGAAGGUACAGGAGUUUCAUUAACGUCAAUAACUUGGACCGAACACUUUGUUUUGCUUGAUGAAGAGCAGGAAGGGCAGCCUGGAGAGAAAGAGAAGCCGGGUUGAGCCCACUACCAUCAUCCACGUACCACGAGGAAGAUGAGGGAGAGAAAUGAUCCUACCAUUAAAGAGACUGUGAAAAGAGCGUUGAGAACAUCACCACUCUACAGGAAGACACAGUCCAGUAAUGGGUGUCAGAAGUUCAGUAGUGAACGACAGAAACAAACAAUCCAAAUUACCUGCAGAAC